rnacentral:piRNA from 1 species
UGUUCUUUUCCACUUUAACCCCC